AGAGUUUGAUCCUGGCUCAGGACGAACGCUGGCGGCGUGCCUAAUACAUGCAAGUAGAACGCUGAAGAGAGGAGCUUGCUCUUCUUGGAUGAGUUGCGAACGGGUGAGUAACGCGUAGGUAACCUGCCUUGUAGCGGGGGAUAACUAUUGGAAACGAUAGCUAAUACCGCAUAACAAUGGAUGACACAUGUCAUUUAUUUGAAAGGGGCAAUUGCUCCACUACAAGAUGGACCUGCGUUGUAUUAGCUAGUAGGUGAGGUAACGGCUCACCUAGGCGACGAUACAUAGCCGACCUGAGAGGGUGAUCGGCCACACUGGGACUGAGACACGGCCCAGACUCCUACGGGAGGCAGCAGUAGGGAAUCUUCGGCAAUGGACGGAAGUCUGACCGAGCAACGCCGCGUGAGUGAAGAAGGUUUUCGGAUCGUAAAGCUCUGUUGUAAGUCAAGAACGAGUGUGAGAGUGGAAAAUUCACACUGUGACGGUAGCUUACCAGAAAGGGACGGCUAACUACGUGCCAGCAGCCGCGGUAAUACGUAGGUCCCGAGCGUUGUCCGGAUUUAUUGGGCGUAAAGCGAGCGCAGGCGGUUUGAUAAGUCUGAAGUUAAAGGCUGUGGCUCAACCAUAGUUCGCUUUGGAAACUGUCAAACUUGAGUGCAGAAGGGGAGAGUGGAAUUCCAUGUGUAGCGGUGAAAUGCGUAGAUAUAUGGAGGAACACCGGUGGCGAAAGCGGCUCUCUGGUCUGUAACUGACGCUGAGGCUCGAAAGCGUGGGGAGCGAACAGGAUUAGAUACCCUGGUAGUCCACGCCGUAAACGAUGAGUGCUAGGUGUUGGAUCCUUUCCGGGAUUCAGUGCCGCAGCUAACGCAUUAAGCACUCCGCCUGGGGAGUACGACCGCAAGGUUGAAACUCAAAGGAAUUGACGGGGGCCCGCACAAGCGGUGGAGCAUGUGGUUUAAUUCGAAGCAACGCGAAGAACCUUA
rnacentral:rRNA from 1 species